GAUAUGAAAAGAUUUAGAUAAACAGAAACUCUAGUCUAGAAAGAUUUCUCAAUAAGUUCAACUAGUUAUAAUUUAAAUUUGAGAAAGCAAGUCUAGCCUAAAAUAUGUUUGAAUAAAGAAAUUUAAAUAAAAUCAAAUUUGGCAUACUUGGCAUGCCUUUGAGUCAACCAAGAAAGGAGCUUAGCCGACUAAUUUCUUAGUUCAAGGGAA
rnacentral:lncRNA from 1 species